CCUACGGGAGGCAGCAGUGAGGAAUAUUGGUCAAUGGACGAGAGUCUGAACCAGCCAAGUAGCGUGAAGGAUGACUGCCCUAUGGGUUGUAAACUUCUUUUAUAUGGGAAUAAAACGUUCCACGUGUGGGAUUUUGUAUGUACCAUAUGAAUAAGGAUCGGCUAACUCCGUGCCAGCAGCCGCGGUAAUACGGAGGAUCCGAGCGUUAUCCGGAUUUAUUGGGUUUAAAGGGAGCGUAGGUGGAUUGUUAAGUCAGUGGUGAAAGUUUGCGGCUCAACCGUAAAAUUGCAGUUGAAACUGGCAGUCUUGAGUACAGUAGAGGUGGGCGGAAUUCGUGGUGUAGCGGUGAAAUGCUUAGAGAUCACGAAGAACUCCGAUUGCGAAGGCAGUUCACUGGACUGCAACUGACACUGAGGCUCGAAAGUGUGGGUAUCAAACAGGAUUAGAUACCCGGGUAGUC
rnacentral:rRNA from 1 species